UACGUAGGGAGCAAGCGUUGUCCGGAAUCAUUGGGCGUAAAGAGCGCGUAGGUGGCUGCAUAAGUCCGUUGUGAAAGUCAAAGGCUCAACCUUUGAAAGCCGAUGGAUACUGUGGAGCUAGAGUACGGAAGAGGCGAGUGGAAUUCCUGGUGUAGCGGUGGAAUGCGCAGAUAUCAGGAGGAACACCGAUGGCGAAGGCAAUCCCCUGGGCCUGCACUGACGCUCAUGCACGAAAGCGUGGGGAGCAAACAGG
rnacentral:rRNA from 1 species